rnacentral:rRNA from 1 species
ACGCCGUAACGAUGAAUGUUAGCCGUCGGGCAGUUUACUGUUCGGUGGCGCAGCUAACGCAUUAAACAUUCCGCCUGGGGAGUACGGUCGCAAGAUUAAAACUCAAAGGAAUUGACGGGGGCCCGCACAAGCGGUGGAGCAUGUGGUUUAAUUCUAAGCAACGCGCAGAACCUUACCAGCCCUUGACAUCCCGAUCGCCAACACGAGAUAUCUUAUGCUCUAGU